GAUGAACGCUAGCGAUAGGCCUAACACAUGCAAGUCGAGGGGCAUCACAUGAAGUAGCAAUACGGAUGGUGGCGACCGGCGCACGGGUGAGUAACACGUAUGCAACCUGCCUUCAACAAGGGGAUAACCCGUUGAAAGACGGACUAAUACCCUAUAACACAGGGGUCCCGCAUGGGGAUAUUUGUUAAAGGAGCAAUCCGCUAUGAGAUGGGCCCGCGGCGCAUUAGCUAGUUGGUGGGGUAAGGGCCUACCAAGGCGACGAUCGGUAGCUGGUCUGAGAGGAUGAUCAGCCACACUGGGACUGAGACACGGACCAGACUCCUACGGGAGGCAGCAGUGAGGAAUAUUGGACAAUGGAUGGAAAUCUGAUCCAGCCAUGCCGCGUGAAGGACGACGGUCCUAUGGAUUGUAAACUUCUUUUGUAUGGGAGCAAUAAGGUCUACGUGUAGAUCGAUGAGAG
rnacentral:rRNA from 1 species